GGCAUUGACCUUUGGACCUUGUUUGCCCUGCAUCUAGAGCUUGCCUGCCAACUAUGACCUGAAUCCAUGGGCAUCUCCAAGACAUCUAAUGCUGCUGACUUAUAUUCAUAAUUCCUCAAUAAUCCUCUGUAUUCAUGUGAAAACUCAAGGACAAGUUCCUUUGAGGAAGGAGUGAUUGAUGUGAGAUAAGCCCAGCCCAAC
rnacentral:misc_RNA from 1 species